rnacentral:rRNA from 1 species
UGGGGAAUCUUGCGCAAUGGGGGCAACCCUGACGCAGCGACGCCGCGUGAGGGAUGGCGGCCUUCGGGUUGUAAACCUCUUUCAGCAGGGACGAAGCGCAAGUGACGGUACCUGCAGAAGAAGCGCCGGCCAACUACGUGCCAGCAGCCGCGGUAAGACGUAGGGCGCGAGCGUUGUCCGGAUUUAUUGGGCGUAAAGAGCUCGUAGGCGGCUUGUCGCGUCGACUGUGAAAACCCGCGGCUCAACCGCGGGCCUGCAGCCGAUACGGGCAGGCUAGAGUUCGGUAGGGGAGACUGGAAUUCCUGGUGUAGCGGUGAAAUGCGCAGAUAUCAGGAGGAACACCGGUGGCGAAGGCGGGUCUCUGGGCCGAUACUGACGCUGAGGAGCGAAAGCGUGGGGAGCGAAC